GUGAUGUAGGUGACUUCAGAUUGUAGUUUUGGAGACGUUCUGACCCCAAGACACAACUAACUCCUGCAAUUCUCCAGCUGUGAUCCUUGGAGAUGUUUUGUCCACUCGAACCGUCCUCUUCAGUGUGUUGAGACGAUAUAGACACGCGUCCAAUUCCAGGUUGAUUCAUAACAUUUCCAGUUGACUGGAACUUCUUAAUUAUUGCCCUGAUGAUGUGAAAUGAGCAUUUUCAAUGCUUGUGCUAUUUUCUUAUAGAUGCAUGGUGGUCCAUUAGAAGGUAGUUUAUAACAUUGCAAUGCGUUAGCGUUUAUGCUCCAUGUAAUGUUUGCGAUAUCCAGUUAUUUGUUAAUGUUAGCUGAUUUCACGGCUACAAUGCCAGCUUCCUCAAGCAUAAUAUAGGACCUGUCUUUCGACUGUAAUCCUGUGGCAUUAAUUUUGUGACCUAAAAAUACCUCUACUUCUCCCAUGAACUCGCACUUGCUCCUUCUUUGUCUCAGUCCACUCUUUUCUAUCCUACUCAGUACCUCAUCCAAGUUCUGCAGAUAUUCAUUAUACCCUGAGACUAAAAUGUCAUCCAGAUAAACUGUGACACGUGCGAUGUCUUGCAGAAUCCCUUCUGUUGUGCGCUGGAAGAUCGCUGGACUUGAAGCAACUCCAAAUGGUGGCCUGUUUGUCCAAAGCCCGUGGUGGUGGAAGUGCAAGGCGUUUGUGUGGAAGCAGGUCUGUUGGGAGUGUUAAGUACCAUCAUCUCAUACACUCACCACAACUCUGGGAAGUUCCAUCCAUAUUGUUUGCUGUCACUUUUCCUGCAAAGCUUUAACCAUCAGAGAGUUAUCUUUUACUGGGGCUUUUAGCUGCAGGAGACUGAAUUACUAACAGUUUUUUUGUGGAUCUGAUUUCUUCUUUCGCAGGAGUGGAUCUAAUCACAGCCUGUGAUAUUUGUCUGUGCACACAGGAUGCCUGGUUUCAGGUGAAGUCGUGUGUUCCCUGAUAGUCAAUGAUUGCUGGAGCUCUGGAAAUAGCAGGUGAGAUUGCAGGCCGGAGUCCCAUUGCUGUCCAGGGAACCAAAAUCAACCUCCUCUACUCCUGAGACCACAGUGUGACUGAUGGCUACUUGGAACAUGAACAUGUUGCAGACACAGGAUCUUAUGAAGUCAGCGCGGGCAGCCCUGGAAAAGAAGAGUCCGAAAGACGUGCCCUUCUCCAAGCUUUAAAGGAGAAGAUCCAGGGCUGUUGAAGCUGUGGUGGAACUGAGACUUCAUCAUCCACAUAUCUUUAGUUUUUCUUGCUAAGUCUCAGUUUCUUUUUAGUCUUUUUAUUUUUAGACUGGUCAAAAGACUGAUUAGUGGAAGUGAAAUGAUAGAUGAACUUUUAAUUACUUGCUUUAUUAUUUGCAGGUGCCUUGUACAGUAAGACAGGGUAACUAAUACUCAAAAGCUUGUUUUGUGUGUUAACAUGUACAGUAGAUGUACAUAUUUUUUCUGGUGCUGUGACUGCAGAAUGUAGUGCAGUUAACACAUUAAAUUUCCUUGGAUGCUCACUUUUAACUCGAGGAGGUCACAGUUUGCCCAGACAUCUUUUUUUAAAUCCGUCAAUCCGUCACCCACACGUCAUUCUGGGGGACGAAGAGGAGGAAGCUGGACAGAUAAAUUUUUUUUAUUUAUCAUUGCUGUGUUUCCUCAGUCGAGUGCAGAAAGAAGAAAAACACAACUGAUUUAAAAUAAAAAUAUAGAAAACAAUCUAAUGUAAGGUUGUGAUCCGGUUUGCUUUCAGCAGGAAGGCUGUCCUCUUUCCUGUUGCUCUUUCUCUUCUAUUAGUCCAUUUGUCCAGUCUGAAUCGGUUUGAUUGUUUGAUUCGUUUCGAGACGAUUCGGAGUCAAAUAAUUUUCUAGUGAGAGUCGCACACUUCCAAACAAACUAGACUGAGAUGAGUAUUUGAUUCUCACUUGAAAGUGAUUUGACUCUGAAUAAACUCGAAAUGAAUCAGUCAAACUGAUUCAGACUCUAUAAAAGGACUAUGAGAUGUGAUUAAGAUAUAUAUUCCAAUGUUUUGCUUUACAAUUCUACUGUGUGUGUGUGUGCACGCAUGUGUGUUUUUCAGGAGAACGAGAAACUCUGACAUGAGUACAUCCUGACCAUUGGUACUGUGUACACAUCAACAUACACACACGUCUCCAUGCUGGACAUCUCCGGAGCUUUCACACACAGUGCUAGGAAUAUCCCGGGACAGAGAAAUGCACCUCCUAAGUGAGCAAGUUUAGCGUCAACCGGUGAAAUUUGCUGUAGCGUGAACACUUCGCCUCUGUGAGCUUCACUCUCCGUCAGGUUCACUGUAAUUAGACAUAAAAUGUACAUAAUGUUUAUUUUUCAUACAUUUAGGACUUAAGGUGGUUUUUUAAAAUUUAUUUUUAUUUAUUUUUUUUACCCUUCGAGGAACAGAAAUGAUAUUUCGAGGCAGCUUCUUCAUCACUACCUGCUCCGUUUGACUCAAAAAUGCAACGACCGGUUUCAAAAAGUCACGAUGUCUUCAGUUCAUGUGAUUUUACUGUUGAAUUUAAACAGGAAAUGUGAAAUAUUUUUGUUCCUUUGUUUCCUCUACUGUCUUUUUGCUGUGAUCUUGAACACAGUUGUAAUUUUUUAAAAAAAUAAUAAAUAAAUGAUAAUUCUAGUUCUCACUUUGCUUGUCCUAAUUGUCCUGUAUCUAUUAAAUCCGUUUCAUCUGUGGUCUUUGUCUGUAUGAACACUUGUAGAAAUGACUUGUAGUCCAUAU